ACAUUUCUUGCACAGCUCAGAUCUCACACCGUGUUAAUCAUCUAAACUCAAGAAGGUUCUACAUCUACAGUUUAAAUCUUAUAUUGAAGGACAUCGUCAAUAUAAACAACGUUAGGGUCUGUGUUUAAGUUGAGGUGUCAAACUGAAGCUUGUCAGGUGAGCUACUUGGCUAGCCUUUAGCUAGCUAGCUAGCAUUUAUUCCUACUUCCUGUUGCUAUUGUUAAUUGCUGCGAUACGUUAAUUUGACCGCCAUAUUGGAAAGGUCAAGCUUCUUUUGUAAACAAAUCAAAGUUUCCCAGGACACAUAUUUGCACUACAAAUUAAGUGUUUUGGUUCAACCAUUUUUCAGAAAAUCUAGUACUGAAAAAACAAAACAUCUAACAUCUUUAAGUAACAUAAACGUGAAUAUGCAGACAAUAUAAAUAUUCUGAUUCUGUCUAAUUGUUGGAAAUUGUCAAACCAAACAGUGAUCUGUAGCUCAGCAUGUUUUCACUAAAGCUGCUGAAUUUACUGUCCAAUAAACCAAAGUUUGCCAUUUCUAAAACAGUUAAUAUGAACACAACUGACUUUAUAUUGGCUUAUAUUGGCUUAUUAUUAUUAUUAUUAUUAUUAUUAAUGGUGCUUGCAAAGCAACAUUAUUACUAUUGUGCCGGACAAAACUUCGGCACGUAACUUGUCCCGCAGCUUUUGUCCUAGACCCAUGAAUGAGGUGUCAAAUCGACCGGCUCGUUGAGGAGAGGUGUGCUAUGACUUUUAUAAGCAAUCCGAGUACCGGUAAAAAAAAACUUUUUACAACAUGGACAUGUGACAUAUCAAAACACUGACAACAAUGAGGGGAACAUCCUCACGUGUAUUUUGAUGAUGUCACGUGAUGUCACGUGAAAAUAAAAAAUGAGCACAACAUGGACAUGUGACAUAUCAAAACACUCAGCACGAUGAGGGGGACUUGCCACGUGCAAGCACCAUACACAUUUUCUUCAGGAAAUGUUUGCAGAGCUAUGCAGACAGAAAUCUGUACAAGUGAAAGGAUACCAGACCCUUUGGUGUGUAUCACACUUCCAGAACACCAGAACCAUGUAAAAAUGGAAAAGCCUGAAGAUGAAGUUUACUCGUGUGAUGGGACAUCAGGCUCUGUGGGACACUUUGCUGUUGCAGACCAACAGAAUAGAAGAUUCCUGAAAAAGCCUGUAAAAGUGGAAGAAGAUGAAGACUAACUCUGUAACAUAACAUUAUGGGCUCAUGUUUCUCAUGCCAAGUGUCUUUAUUAUUCAAUAACUUAAACAGAUAGAUAGAAAGAAAGAGAAAAGAGCAGCAAAAGCCUUCUGUUUGUCCAGUUUCUCUCUUUGAAUGUGUCUGUAGCCAGAAAUUCUAUGGUUUUUGGUUUUAGACACAAAACUUGAAUCCUGACAAUAGAGCUUUUCUAUUGCAUCACUGGAGCCUGAGUUUUGGCUCUGUAGUCUAGCAUCAAUGCUUUAAAUCUUAUAUGGAGAGCUAAAGGAAGCCAGUGGAAGGAAAAUCAGCAAUGGCAUGAGGUGAAAAAACAGAUGGUUACUGAAAACAAGGUGUUCAGUUGGUGGUGUUGAGAAGGUUAGUAAAACUCAGAGAUUCAGUAAAAGAGAAGUCCAGUUUGUGGUAAGGAAGGGAUGGUUUAUGAACGGUUCGAGUGGAAACAUACUCCCCUUAUGAUGUAUCAGAUGACUUUUUGCCUACUAUUUACACCUUAGACAAGUCCAUGUAAGACAGAUAUUUAACGACAGUGUGUGAGGAUGCAUGUCUCUUAUAUAGCUGGGACACCAGAAUACCAGAAUGUACUGGGCAGUGGUAUUGCAGUACCAGAACUGAGAAACACUGAUCUAGACAAGAAUAAAGCCAACAGAACCCAAGCAGACAGUACAUGAAAUCCAAGUAGAAACUAAAAUAAAAAAGCACAUGUCAAAGCAUAACGUUAUUUUGCAAUUACACAAUAAGAAGCCCAAAAGAAGUAGAAAAUAAAUCGGCCAUUAGAUGUGUCCUCUUCUUCCAGAUUGUGAGGAUUGCAGAUCCUUUUACGUCAGCAAAUGUAAAGUUCACGGUCCACUCUGUUCAUCCAUGAUACACCUAUUCCUAUGGGGGUCACUGACCAAGCCAGACAGACCAUUCCGCCUUGUCUAGAGGUUCGUCAGGCUGGUAUUCCAGAAGCAGGUUUGGGUGUGUUUAAUAAGGGGGGGACCGUUCCAGUCGGUGCUCACUUUGGGCCGUACCGGGGAGACCUGGUCGACAGAGAAGAAGCCAUGAGAAGUGGCUACUCCUGGGUGGUGAGUUAGGUUCAUAAGAUAAUCAUUCAUCAGUUCCAUCAGAAUUCUGAAGACGUUUUCAGGUUAAUAAUUGUUACUAUAGGAACUGAGUUGGAUUCAUCUGGGUUCAUGGACAUGGCUGCCUUUCAUGGACUUGGCUGCCUUUUGCUACUAACUGGUGUGUUCCAUCUCUUGUGUCUUGUGCUGUGUGAUUUUUUUCUCUUUGUCUCAGAUACGUGAAUUGUGCUCGUAACUUACAGUAUCGAGGAGAAAUUCUGUACCGUUGUUGUCAACCCAUCAAACCAGGACAGGAGCUCUUAGUGGGGUAUGAAGAAGAAUAUGCCAAAGCUCUUGGUCUUACAUUCGACUCCAUUCGACUUCCAUAUAAUUCAGUGGUCACAGUAAACUCAGGCAGUCGACAAACAUUGAUGUGUCACGCUGAACUGUAACUCAGCCUGUCAUUGCUCACAGUGUGUGAAGAGUUUUAGUAAAGUAAGCACUUUUCACCGACACCAGCGCAUUCAUACUGGAGAAAAUCCAUACCAGUGCUCGCAUACAAGUGCUCUUUUCGCAGUGUGGAAAGAAGUUUAAGGACAAAGCUAAUCUCCAGACACACUAGCGCAUUCACACAGGAGAAAAACCAUACUGCUGCUCAGAGUGUGGGAAGAGUUUCACACAGAAGUGUCACCUCGAUGGUGAUAAACACGUUCACAUGGGGGAGAAGUCACACCAGUGCAGUGUUGUAUAAAGUAUUAAAAAGCAAUACUUGAGUAAAAGUACAAGUAUCGUACUAGAAAAAGACUUUGGUAGAAGUGAAAGUUACCUUUUAGAAUAUUACUCAAGUAAAAGUCUUAAAGUAUCUGAUAUAUACUGUACUUAAGUAUCAAAAGUAAUUUUCUGAUAUUUAAUGUACUUAAGUAUUUGAAGUAAAAGUAAAAAGUAAAAUUUCAGUGAUUUUUCGGUAGGCAUAAGAGCAGGGGCGGUUCUAAGGUUUCAUCUUUAGGGGGUUUAAACCCUCAGUGAGAAUUUAAAACAAGAAUAGUUUUAUAUUCUAUAUUAUAUGACUACAUAGUAAGCCAAAAGUUAUGGUAUUAUUUAAAAUGGCAAAAGUGGACACCAAAAUUUUAUGCAUGAUGUAAUGAUGCCAGUCUUGAAUCAAAUCAGUUCAUGUAUGUUUGCAUUCUCUACAAACAGUGUGUCCAAUGAAUGCAGUCAUUAAUAAAAAAAAAUUCUCACAAGACAAAGACCAAAUCAAUAAAUUCUAUUUUUAUUUAGUA